AUUUUAAAGGCUCCACGAAGUCCUCUUCAUGAUCUUGGAAGUGGGAAUGAAUUCACUCAGGACAUCAAUGUGGAAAGACGUCGGAAAAACUCUCGACGUGUCAGCUUUGCAGACACCAUAAACUUCAGAGUCUUCCAGAGAGAUCAUAAGACUGAAGUGGCAGAGAAAGAAA